rnacentral:rRNA from 1 species
GAUGAACGCUAGCUACAGGCUUAACACAUGCAAGUCGCGGGGCAGCAUUCGCUUAGCUUGCUAGGUGAGAUGGCGACCGGCGCACGGGUGAGUAACGCGUAUCCAACCUGCCCUUGUCCACGGGAUAACCCGGUGAAAACCGGCCUAAUACCGUAUGAGGUCACAAGCGGACAUCCAACUGUGACGAAAGGUUUGGCGGACAAGGGAUGGGGAUGCGUCCGAUUAGCUUGACGGCGGGGUAACGGCCCACCGUGGCUACGAUCGGUAGGGGUUCUGAGAGGAAGGUCCCCCANAUUGGAACUGAGACACGGUUCAAAACUUCCUACGGGGAGGCAGCAGUGAGG